rnacentral:rRNA from 2 species
GGAGGCAGCAGUAGGGAAUCUUCCGCAAUGGACGAAAGUCUGACGGAGCAACGCCGCGUGAGUGACGAAGGCCUUCGGGUCGUAAAGCUCUGUUGUUAGGGAAGAACAAGUACCGUUCGAAUAGGGCGGUACCUUGACGGUACCUAACCAGAAAGCCACGGCUAACUACGUGCCAGCAGCCGCGGUAAUACGUAGGUGGCAAGCGUUGUCCGGAAUUAUUGGGCGUAAAGCGCGCGCAGGCGGUCUUUUAAGUCUGAUGUGAAAGCCCACGGCUCAACCGUGGAGGGUCAUUGGAAACUGGAGGACUUGAGUGCAGAAGAGGAGAGUGGAAUUCCACGUGUAGCGGUGAAAUGCGUAGAUAUGUGGAGGAACACCAGUGGCGAAGGCGGCUCUCUGGUCUGUAACUGACGCUGAGGCGCGAAAGCGUGGGGAGCAAACAGGAUUAGAUACCCUGGUAGUCCACGCCGUAAACGAUGAGUGCUAGGUGUUGGGGGGUUCCACCCUCAGUGCUGAAGUUAACACAUUAAGCACUCCGCCUGGGGAGUACGACCGCAAGGUUGAAACUCAAAGGAAUUGACGGGGGCCCGCACAAGCAGUGGAGCAUGUGGUUUAAUUCGAAGCAACGCGAAGAACCUUACCAGGUCUUGACAUCCUCUGACAAUCCUGGAGACAGGACGUUCCCCUUCGGGG